UUUAGAUGCACUUUGAUUUAAUCCAGUGGCAUUCAUAUUGUAUUGAACUCUCAUGAUAAACCUUUAAAAGGGGAGCCUUGGCGUAAUUGGUAAAGUUGUUGCUAUGUGACUAGGAGGUCACGUGUUCGAGCUGUGGAAAUAGCCUCUUGCAGAAAAUGCAGGGCAAGGUUGCGUACAAUAACCCUUCUAGUCUGGAUCUUCCCUGGACCACGUGCAUAGCAAGAGCUUAGUGCACCGAGCUGCCAUCUUUUUUUUCUCUUGAUAGACCUCGUCUGAUGCAAUUUGAAGCUCUUUCUCCUCUAUGCUAUGUUGUUCAUUAGUUGUAAUGUGUAAUUUUCUGAAACAGACUAUUUAUGGAUGUAUCCUUUGCAGGUGAGAGAUUUACUGAUGUUG
rnacentral:misc_RNA from 1 species